AAUAGAUACCCAGGUAGUCCAUGCCGUAAACGUUGGGAACUAGAUGUGGGGACCAUUCCACGGUCUCCGUGUCGCAGCUAACGCAUUAAGUUCCCCGCCUGGGGAGUACGGCCGCAAGGCUAAAACUCAAAGGAAUUGACGGGGGCCCGCACAAGCGGCGGAGCAUGCGGAUUAAUUCGAUGCAACGCGAAGAACCUUACCAAGGCUUGACAUAUACGAGAACGCUGCAGAAAUGUAGAACUCUUUGGACACUCGUAUACAGGUGGUGCAUGGUUGUCGUCAGCUCGUGUCGUGAGAUGUUGGGUUAAGUCCCGCAACGAGCGCAACCCUCGUCGUAUGUUGCCAGCACGUAAUGGUGGGAACUCAUAUGAGACUGCCGGGGUCAACUCGGAGGAAGGUGGGGAUGAGGUCAAAUCAUCAUGCCCCUUAUGUCUUGGGCUUCACGCAUGCUACAAUGGCCGGUACAAAGGGCUGCAAUACCGCAAGGUGAGCGAAUCCCAAAAAGCCGGUCUCAGUUCGGAUUG
rnacentral:rRNA from 1 species